rnacentral:lncRNA from 1 species
GCCGUACACAGUUUAUACUCUUGCGGGCCAGCAGUGACAUGCAGUUUAGACUCGUACCUUAAGGAGCAUCAUCUUACUUCAAGGGUAGUACCUCUUUAGGAAUUUUGCAUUAAUAGGACCGAUCUUUACGCCAUCUGCAUCAACAAGCUUGUAAGCACCAUGUGAAUAUGCUUCUUGUACAACAUACGGUCCAUCCCACUUUGAGGUAA